UAACCGCGUUUGAUCUUCCGCAACUCACCCUCUCUCACCUUUCCCUCGUCUUUCUACUGCUGCUUUUUUUUUUUUUUUUCUCUCUAAACUCUGGAGGGUUUUUUGUUGAUACUACGCCUUCCAUUUGCCAUUACGAGUAAUAACAAGGAUGGAUUCGACAUGGCUGAUCUCGGCGCUGCCCUUUCUCCUGCUGCUACUGCUGGACAUUGAGGUGAACAACCAGAAGGUUAAGGUGCAUUGUGGCAAUGUCUCCGUAUUUGAACGCUUACCUGAUUGUGCCAAAAUUUAAGUGGAUACAGGAACUCCUUUGGCUUCAGAAAUGUGUUUGUGAGUGUGUGGUUUCUAAAGGUGCAAGGAUCUAUGCAGGAUAACAGAACUAGAAACAAGGUGGCAAUGUUGGUUGGAAAAUGGGAUGAGCAAAAUGUAUUGUGUUGGGAGAUCCUACUAUAAAGCCAAAGGGGUACUAUCCCAUGUCAGAAGCUAUGUUGUUAUGGAAAUGAGACAAAUCAGUCACUCAAACAUGAUACAACUUAACACCUUUUGCAAUUAUUUUGAAUGAAUUGACACUUGACCUAUUGGAGAAGUUGCCUCCAACUGAUUCCAGACUCAGGCCAGAUCAGAGGCUUUUGGAGAAUGGGGAAUAUGAACUAGCAAAUGUAUAGAAGCUUAGACUUGAACAGCUACAGAGACAGGUUCAACCAAUAUGUUAAGUGGAUUUGCAUUGGAAGAUGUGCUACAUUAUUAGAGAAUUUGAUUAUUUUUUUUAAGUUUUUGUACUAUUUAUAUGUCAACUGGAUAUUGUAUUUGAACAAUGUCUUUUGGAUAUUUUAAUAUAUAAUCUUUGAAUUAAUAGAUUUCAUUUUAAA